rnacentral:rRNA from 1 species
GAUGUUGCCAUAGAGGAUGAAUUUGAAAAGAGGCUUCUUAGUGAUGUUAUCCCUCUAGAUGAGAUAGGUGUUUCCUUUGAUGACAUUGGAGCGCUAGAGAAUGUCAAGGAAACUUUGAAGGAGUUAGUGAUGCUUCCAUCGCAAGAGUUUUUCUCCAAGGGACAACUUAUGAAGCCAUGUAAAGGAAUGUUGCUUUUUGGUCCACCUGGUACGGGGAAGACCAUGCUUGCUAAAGUUGUUGCAACAGAGGCUGGUGCUAACUUCAUCAACAUAUCAAUGUCAAGCAUUGGCUCGAAGUGGUUUGGCGAGGGGAAAUAUGUGAAAGUUGUGUUUUCACUUGCAAGAAAAAUUGCUCCCAGUGUCAUAUUUGUGGAUGAGGUCAGUCAAAAAAUUUCAUCAUCAUUGAUGAUGUGA